rnacentral:rRNA from 1 species
GCGGCGGACGGGUGAGUAACGCGUGGGUAAUCUACCCCAGAGUCCGGGAUAACAGCGGGAAACCGCUGCUAAUACCGGAUGUCUUUACCUUGGGGCAUCUUGAGGUAAAGAAAGGUAACGCUUUGGGAUGGGCCCGCGUCCCAUUAGCUAGUUGGUGAGGUAACGGCUCACCAAGGCGACGAUGGGUAGCCGGCCUGAGAGGGUGGACGGCCACACUGGGACUGAGACACGGCCCAGACUCCUACGGGAGGCAGCAGUAGGGAAUAUUGCGCAAUGGACGGAAGUCUGACGCAGCGACGCCGCGUGAGCGAUGAAGGUCUUCGGAUCGUAAAGCUCUGUCCUUGGGGAAGAAGGCGAAAGCUUGACGGUACCCAAGAAGAAAGCCCCGGCUAACUACGUGCCAGCAGCCGCGGUAAUACGUAGGGGGCGAGCGUUGUCCGGAAUUACUGGGCGUAAAGGGUGCGUAGGCGGCCCUUUAAGUCGGAUGUGGAAGCCCGCG